GGUGUGAACUACCAUGCCUGAUUUUUUCUCAUUUUUCUCUCUUUUCUUUCUUCUUUGGUAGAUGGAAAUGUGUCAUGUACCAGCUAUUCAUCCAAUGUCUGCCCUCAGUUCCAAAUUCACCCUUCACUGCCUGCUCUGCAAACAUAGAGAUGGGACCGUCUAGUUGCAGGAAAACAAACAAGCUCAGGACUCCCACUGAUUGUAUGCCUCAGCUGAGGUGUCUCACCCCAUUCUCUGUGAUGUGACAAGAAGCCCCUUGGGAGCAUUUCAGUCCCACUCAACUUUUGUCAUUGUGCUCCUCACAGUCUGAAGCAUCUAAGCUGAAGAGUCCCCUGAGGACAAGUACUAUCCUGUGGUUUCAUGACCUUUCUUCCAUUUGUGGUUCUUGCCAAGUUAAAUUUAAAUUACAUCUUAUCAAGAUGGAUAAACACAAGUUUUCCAGUGCUGGAAUAUAGAAAAUGGAUGGGCAAAUAAGUCCCACUCAACACCCAUAGCCAAGGCAUGGAGACUUCAACACACCUGGGCCCUAGACAUCACCUUUCAUUCUGGAGCUACCAUGAAAGACUUCAGAGUUCAGGAGGAGACUGACUGGGCCUCAUGUUAUUCAGGAUCUUGCUCUGUUGUCCAGGUUAGAGUACAGUAGUGCUAUCACAGCUGAUUGCAGCCAUGAACUCCCCAGUUAAAGCCAUCUGCCCACUUCAGCUUCCCAAAUGGAUGAGACUAUAGGUGCCUGCCACUAUGCCCAACCGAUAUUUGGACUUUUCCUAUACGA